AGAUGGGAAUACGUGGAGGCAAAUAGCCAUGCUUCUGUCCUUACACCCGAACUGAUUUACAUAGUCUGCAUAAGCGAAGCUCCCCGAGCGAGCAUGACCCUCACUCUGCCAAGCCUCAGUCCUCUGGGAAACGGGUCCACCAUCCUAACACCUGUAGGUUUUAAUAUACUUCUGGCUUCAAUGCUGCAAGAAGGCAAGCCCCUAUGGCUCUGUCUUCCUGCAUGUGACUCAAGGGAUGAUGACCUCAGCACUGGUGACAAUUUCCUGCCAUGCUCUGGGUUCUUCUUUCCCUGCCUCAAAGGAUUCUUGAGAAGAGUUAAUACUUAGCUUUCUGGAGGAAGCAUCAAAAUCUAUCCAUUUCAGCAAAAACUGUCAAACCAAUUCUCACUUAGGUUCUGGGCAGAAAAAAAGAAAAUUACACCUUGUUUACAAAUGAAAUAGUUUCAUUUAAAUGGGACUUUAGGCAAGGCAGUUAAUUAGUCAAAAGAUCCAUGGUAGUCACAAGUCUCUCGGUGUUUAUUCCAUUUGGUAUGUCUACUGCUGUUAUGUAUUUAAUAUUCUGCAUCCUUCUCAGGAAAUGACAAAUGCCCUGAAUUCUUUGCAAAUAGAAUUGCUAAUGAAAAAGAAAGUUGGUGUUAAUUAAAUGAUGAUUAAAAAUUUAUUUCCCUUAAACCU
rnacentral:lncRNA from 1 species